rnacentral:pre_miRNA from 1 species
GUGUUCCCUAGAGUUCUCUUGACCGCUUCAUUAGGGUUUACUUCGUUGUUUGAUGCCCUGCUGAAGUGUUUGGGGGAACUCCCGAGCUCAC